rnacentral:lncRNA from 1 species
AUUAUGAAUGAACACGAAUGCGGCCACUUUCAUUUUAGACGGAAAUCGUCUAAAAAUUGACCAAAAUGCUAAAAUUUUGAAGAUUUCAGUAAUUUAGCAUGACUUAAUGAUGCUAGAACGCGAUAUUUGUGCAUUUUAUCGUCAAAACAGCUCAUAUUUAUGUAGCAGAAGCAUUUUACUUUCCAAAAUAUAGCUUCAAGAUUACAUUUUCACAAUUUUCUAAAACUGCUAUAUUUUGGGGCCAAAAAGGGGUCUUAGUGAACCUACUCCUUU